rnacentral:tRNA from 1 species
AUUAUUUUGACAGAAAAGUGUGAUAGAUUUAGAUUCUAUAAAUGUAUAAUUAUACAAAUAAUA